GUUAUCAAGCUCUCGCACAUGGCAUUGCUCAGCACGCUGAGCAGAGGAAAACUAAGAUCGAGAAAGAGAAACAGGAGAAGGCAUCAGCAUGCU